AGGACGAACGGCUGGCGGCGUGCCUAAUACAUGCAAGUCGAACGGUCUUUCUAUGGAAGCUUGCUUCCGCUGAGAAGAUAGUGGCGAACGGGUGAGUAACACGUGGGUAACCUGCCCAUAAGAGGGGGAUAACAUCCGGAAACGGGUGCUAAUACCGCAUAGUUUUCUUGAUCGCAUGAUCGGGAAAGGAAAGACGGCCUUUGUGCUGUCGCUUAUGGAUGGACCCGCGGCGUAUUAGUUAGUUGGUGAGGUAAUGGCUCACCAAGACGAUGAUACGUAGCCGACCUGAGAGGGUGAUCGGCCACAUUGGGACUGAGACACGGCCCAAACUCCUACGGGAGGCAGCAGUAGGGAAUCUUCCGCAAUGGACGAAAGUCUGACGGAGCAACGCCGCGUGAGUGAAGAAAGGUUUUCGGAUCGUAAAACUCUGUUGUCAGAGAAGAACAAGUUGGAGAGUAACUGCUCCAGCCUUGACGGUAUCUGACCAGAAAGCCACGGCUAACUACGUGCCAGCCGCGGC
rnacentral:rRNA from 1 species